UACGAAGGGGGCUAGCGUUGUUCGGAAUUACUGGGCGUAAAGCGCACGUAGGCGGACAUUUAAGUCAGGGGUGAAAUCCCAGAGCUCAACUCUGGAACUGCCUUUGAUACUGGGUGUCUUGAGUAUGGAAGAGGUGAGUGGAAUUCCGAGUGUAGAGGUGAAAUUCGUAGAUAUUCGGAGGAACACCAGUGGCGAAGGCGGCUCACUGGUCCGAUUACUG
rnacentral:rRNA from 1 species